rnacentral:rRNA from 1 species
GGUCCUACGGGGCGCAGCAGUGGGGAAUAUUGGGCAAUGGGCGCAAGCCUGACCCAGCAACGCCGCGUGAAGGAAGAAGGCUUUCGGGUUGUAAACUUCUUUUCUUGGGGACGAAGAAAGUGACGGUACCCAAGGAAUAAGCCACGGCUAACUACGUGCCAGCAGCCGCGGUAAUACGUAGGCGGCAAGCGUUAUCCGGAUUUAUUGGGUGUAAAGGGCGUGUAGGCGGGAUUGCAAGUCAGAUGGGAAAACCACGGGCUCAACCUGUGGGCUGCCUUUGAAACUGUAGUUCUU